UGUGGAUUUGAAGUUGUUGAAACUGCUGAGCAGUUAACAAAGUGUGCAUUGCUUGAUUAUUUGGGUAAAAUGGUUGGCCAGCUCCAAAGGAAGCAAAGUUUGUAACUGAUCCACCAUUUGGGAUUGCUUGGCCAGUCAAUACUUUCAAAUGCUGAAUUUCCUCUUUGAGUGCUUCAUUUAGAGCAUCUUGCAGGUGAACCUGCUGCUCCUUUGUCUGCAACCG
rnacentral:misc_RNA from 1 species